rnacentral:rRNA from 1 species
UACAGAGGUGGCAAGCGUUUGUUCGGAAUUACUGGGCGUAAAGGGCGCGUAGGCGGCCUUCUAAGUCAGACGUGAAAUCCCCUCAGCUUAACUGGGGAACUGCGUCUGAUACUGGAUGGCUUGAGUGUGGGAGAGGAAUGCGGAAUUCCAGGUGUAGCGGUGAAAUGCGUAGAUAUCUGGAGGAACACCGGUGGCGAAGGCGGCAUUCUGGACCUAACUGACACUGAGAGACGAAAGCCAGGGGAGCAAAACGGGG